UCCAACGCGUUGGGAGCUCUCCCUAUGGUCGACCUGCAGGCGGCCGCGAAUUCACUAGUGAUUCGUAUUACCGCGGCUGCUGGCACAGAGUUAGCCGGUGCUUAUUCUGCGGGUACCGUCAUAGCAACGAGUUAUUCGCUCGUUACCUUUCUUCCCCACCUAAAGUGCUUUACAACCCGAAGGCCUUCUUCACACACGCGGCAUCGCUGGAUCAGGGUUUCCCCCAUUGUCCAAGAUUCCCCACUGCUGCCUCCCGUAGGAGUCUGGGCCGUGUCUCAGUCCCAGUGUGGCUGGUCAUCCUCUCAGACCAGCUACGGAUCGUCGCCUUGGUAGGCUUUUACCCCACCAACUAGCUAAUCCGACGUAGGCUCACCCCAGAGCGCAAGGCCUUUCGGUCCCCUGCUUUUGAUCUCUCGAUAUCAUGUGGUAUUAGCCCGAGUUUCCUCGGGUUAUCCCACGCUCCAGGACAGAUUCCUACGUGUUACUCACCCGUCCGCCACUCGCCACCCCAUAAAGACCGAAAUCUUUACUGUGCUGCCGUUCGACUUGCAUGUGUUAGGCAUGCCGCCAGCGUUCAAUCUGAGCCAGGAUCAAACUCUAAUCGAAUUCCCGCGGCCGC
rnacentral:rRNA from 1 species